rnacentral:piRNA from 1 species
UGUGCAUGGGAGCACUCCCACCCUCCUC